GAUCGCUGUGACAGAGUGGUAACGCUCGCGACUAUGAUUCGUCAAGACGUGGGUUCGAGACCCACCAUGGUCC